rnacentral:lncRNA from 1 species
UGUUAUGCCUUUCGAGGCCCGAGUGGGAAAUAGAAUCAGGGAGUUUCUUGAAACUUAGAGAACUUCUUAUCGAAGACACCGAUUUGGUGCAAUGGAGACCUCAACGUGGAAGCUUCCCAAAGCUUGAUGUUGUAAUCUGAUGCAUUGCUACAAAUUACAGAAACUCAAUUGGUCGUUUGAUCAUUCUCAGAUCAAACGUAUUGGAUUAGUUGACUGCAAUCCUUUAGCUGUCGCUUGUGCCAUUCAAUUACAAGACAAGUUUUCAUUUGAACUUGUCGUGGGAUCUUCUUUUUGAGCUCAAGUCACUCUGCAACUUGCCAUACAGGUUAGUCUUUCUACUCUGCAAUAUACAUCACUGUCUUAAUGUGUUUGAAGUUGUCCAUCUAUAAAUUUUCAGGUCAAUGAGAGAGACGAAGGAGCCGCGUUAUCCCGGAUAUUGUAUUGCCACAUCGUCGUGUGAAUUUAAGGAUUGUGACUUGUAUUGGAUUGUGCUAAAUUUUUGUAUGUUGGAUUUGUGGAAAACAUUAGUCCCUUGUUUCAAUUCAAGGAUUGUAAUCUUUCUGUGUUAUGCAUGAUUUUCACUUUGUUUUGAUAUUAGCUUUGUAUUUCAUGGAAGCUCUCAAUAUGAAUUUCUGAGAGAACAUUUGUUGUGAUGACAUUCCUGAUGAGCUUAUUUCCAAUACUAUGUUAUUUUUGAGAACUCAUGUUGCUGUUGUCUUCUUUCUAUUAUUUUGAUUUCUUUGAGGAAUAGUUUACAAUUUCUUUCAAAUUUAAAAGCUAUGUAAAAUCAUUAUUGGGUUGAGUUGAACAGUUCAUAAAAAAUACUGCUUCAUUUUUUCCCCACAAUUGAUGUUGCUUAUCGAGAUUUGAUCGAGGCGAUUUUCCUAAAUUGAGAUGAAAUUUGAUGUGAUUCUGC